ensembl:lncRNA
CCUCCGGCGGCACCGCAGCUGGGCUUCCGGCAAGUGAGACAGAGUCAAGCCCCAAGCAGCGUGAGGGGGGAACCGCUGGGACUGGACACUGCCCAGCAGCCAGCUGGCUGGCCCUGCCCCGCCCGCCGGAGCGGCAUCUCUGGCCUGUCCAGAUCCUUCCUCUAUGUCCUCCCUCACAAACAUUUAUUGAGGCCCUACUAUGGGCAAGGCACCCAGGGAACCAAGAUGGGUCAGGUACACAUCUUUCCCUCAAAGAGCUCACAUCCUGGUUGGGGACAUAAGACACGUACAUGAAUAAGGCAGAAAAGGUAAGAGCUAUAGGAGAGACGAGAAAAAGCACUUUGUGGGCACCCCACAGAGAAAUGCAAGUCCAGCAGUGUUCGAACAGAUGGGUUUGAAUGCACCCCACAUUGCUUGGCCUUUACGAACCUCAGUUUUUAAAUCUACGGAAUGGAAAUCAUGUCUGCUUUCUUGAACUCAUAAGGUUAUAAAGAUUGAAUAUGUACAAAAGACACUUGAAAACUGUACAGCACUGCCCAGGGGCAAGCUGUGAUGAGGCUGGGAUUAUCAGACCAGCUAGCAUUUCUCUGAACUUCCUGGCCUGGAAUUCUGGGAGCCAGAGGGAGCCAGGGAUCUGAGUAGGGCGUUCACGACAGCAGCAAGGCCAAGGCUAGACCCUGAGCCUGCCCUUCCCCUUCAAGAAGGCAGCCUCGCUCAGCUCCUGGCUGGCGCAUCCACUCUUCAGCUGAUAUUUAUUGCCUUUUUUUUAUUGUGCGUAUAAAGCACUAUCCGAGGGGCUGCAAGGAAGGAUAGACAGGAAAUCUGAAUCCAACCCCCACCACGCCUAUCAGCAAUUAGAGAGGUAAGAUAUUUAUGCAUAAGCUAUAAUUAACGGUGCAGAGCAGUACUAGGCUAGCAAGUUCGCCUUAGAAAGGGAGCUCUAGGAGAGCAGAGGAGGAGGGCUCUGGGGUGGGGUCACCAGCAAAAAAUUCUGGGAGGAGCACAGGACUUUAAAAGGGGACUGGAUCAGAGAGAUCAGAGGGGGCUUCCCAGACUGAGAGUGGGGGGCGGCGUGAGGAAAGCCACAGGAAGGCAAGUGCAGUGGCCAGACUGGGAGCUGACCUCUCAGGCUGGAGUGGCCACUUCCUGUGAGGGAAGGGGGCGGGGAUGAGGCUGGAGGCUGGGGCUGAGUGCGGGUUGCGGGGGCGGUGGGGGGGGUGUUUGAAUGCUGAGCGAGCAAGCUUAAUCUUUCACUUCAAGGCAGGGGGAGCUGGUGAAGCUGUCAGCAGAGUGCAGGGGUGAAGUCAGGGAAUGUCCCCAAUGGACGGAGGUGUGCAGGGGGCCUGGAGGUGUUGGGGAGUGGGAGGAAGACCAUAAGCAAGGUAAUCAGUUUGGGGCCACGUAGCCGCUGGAGUGAGCUAAAGGCUACUGGAUCCCUGAAAUGUGCUCAGGUGGGGGGUGAGACCCUCCCUCCCCCGAAAGAUGCAGCACUGUGUACACAUUUCUUUUUCGUUUUUGGAAGGAGUUCGUGGGCUGAGUGGCCUGACU